rnacentral:rRNA from 1 species
AGAGUUUGAUCCUGGCUCAGGACGAACGCUGGCGGCGUGCCUAAUGCAUGCAAGUCGCACGCAGGAGCUUCGGCUGCUGAGUGGCGCACGGCUGAGUAGCCCGUGGGCAUCUGGCCCCUCGUGGGGGACAACAGCGCGAAAGUGCUGCUAAUCCCGCAUACGCUCCGUGAGGAGGAAAGCGGCAACGCGCGGGGGGGGGAGCCUGCGCCCCAUCAGGUGGUUGGUAGGGUAAUGGCCUACCAAGCCGGUGACGGGUCGCUGGUCUGAGAGGAUGACCAGCCAGACUGGGACUGAGACACGGCCCAGACGGCGACGGGAGGCAGCAGCAAGGGAUUUUCCCCAAUGGGGGAAAGCCUGAGGGAGCAACGCCGCGUGGGGGACGACGGCCUUCGGGUUGUAAACCCCUGUCGAGGGGGAGGAAGGCGUCGCGCAGAGCGACGCUUGACCGAUCCCUGGAGGAAGCACGGGCUAAGUUCGUGCCAGCCGCCGCGGUAAUUC